GACGAACGCUGGCGGCGUGCUUAACACAUGCAAGUCGAACGGAAAGGCCCUGCUUUUGUGGGGUGCUCGAGUGGCGAACGGGUGAGUAACACGUGAGUAACCUGCCCUUGACUUUGGGAUAACUUCAGGAAACUGGGGCUAAUACCGGAUAGGAGCUCCUGCUGCAUGGUGGGGGUUGGAAAGUUUCGGCGGUUGGGGAUGGACUGGCGGCUUAUCAGCUUGUUGGUGGGGUAGUGGCUGACCAAGGCUUUGACGGGUAGCCGGCCUGGGUGGGUGACCGGCCACAUUGGGACUGAGAUACGGCCCAGACUCCUACGGGAGGCAGAAGGGGGGAAUAUUGCACAAUGGGCGGAGGCCUGAUGCAGAAACGCCGCGUGCGGGAUGGCGGCCUUCGGGUUGUAAACCGCUUUCGCCUGUGACGCAGCGUGAGUGACGGUAAUGGGUAAAGAAGCACCGGCUAACUACGUG
rnacentral:rRNA from 1 species